UACGUAGGGUGCAAGCGUUAAUCGGAAUUACUGGGCGUAAAGCGUGCGCAGGCGGUUGUGCAAGACAGAUGUGAAAUCCCCAGGCUCAACCUGGGAAUUGCAUUUGUGACUGCACGGCUAGAGUGUGUCAGAGGGGGGUAGAAUUCCACGUGUAGCAGUGAAAUGCGUAGAGAUGUGGAGGAAUACCGAUGGCGAAGGCAGCCCCCUGGGAUAACACUGACGCUCAUGCACGAAAGCGUGGGGAGCGAACAGG
rnacentral:rRNA from 1 species